UACGGGAGGCAGCAGUGGGGAAUAUUGCACAAUGGGCGCAAGCCUGAUGCAGCCAUGCCGCGUGUAUGAAGAAGGCCUUCGGGUUGUAAAGUACUUUCAGUCGUGAGGAAGGUGUUAAGGUUAAUAACCUUAGCAAUUGACGUUAGCGACAGAAGAAGCACCGGCUAACUCCGUGCCAGCAGCCGCGGUAAUACGGAGGGUGCGAGCGUUAAUCGGAAUUACUGGGCGUAAAGGGCACGCAGGCGGUUAAUUAAGUUGGAUGUGAAAUCCCCGGGCUUAACCUGGGAAUGGCAUUCAAGACUGGUUAGCUAGAGUCUUGUAGAGGGGGUAGAAUUCCAUGUGUAGCGGUGAAAUGCGUAGAGAUGUGGAGGAAUACCGGUGGCGAAGGCGGCCCCUGGACAAAGACUGACGCUCAUGUGCGAAAGCGUGGGGAGCAAACGAGGGAUUAGA
rnacentral:rRNA from 1 species